GCCAGCAGACUGGAACCCGAGGACAUCACCUCGGAGCAGAGUGAUUCCUAUUGGCUGAUUCAGAGAGGGCUCCACAGUGGACGUCACAAUGCGGAAGUUGGACAGUGAGCUUCAGACGAAAACUUACUCCUGUGUCCAACAUCUGACAGCCUGUGGGAAACUGAUCCGGGAGUCUUCAGCGUGAGUUUGAGUGAUUCGAGUGGGACGGCGAGUGAAUGAUCAGCCAGCAGAGGGAUGAUGAUGCUAUGACUGAACAAAAUAAGCUCAGGAUAUUAGAAGGGGAGUAUUUGCAGACAGAAAUCUCAAACUAAACAUCACAUCACGAUCUGACAGACUCAGUCGAAUCAUCAGGACCUGAAUAUGAUCAACCUUUGAAUCUAGAAGGAGAAAUGUUUGUCUGUUUUGUCUGCUUCAAAUGGUUUUAAGCAUCAGAGUGACUGGAAAAGCACCGAGACACACAUAUCCGAGUGAGAGUGUUCCAGUGCACUGACUGUGGAAAGAGCUUGAACCAGUUCCUCAGCUUGAGAAAAACAUCACACCAUUCACAGCGGUGAGAGAGCGUACACUGUUCUGUGUGAGGACGAGGCUUCAACUAAUCGUAGAACCUGGAGAGACACAAGGACAUGCACACCAUGGAGAAACUGUGGAAAUGUGUGGACUGCAGGGAGGGAUUCAAAACCCCAUCUGUGUUGGAAACUCAUCAGUGCAGUCACACCGGGGAGAGGCCAUUCACCUGAGUGUGGGAAGGGAUUCACCCAGUCACCUCAUCUGCAGUCACACCAGUGAAUUCACACUGGGAAGAGUCCGUUCACAUGUUCUGAAUGUGGGAAGGACUUCAGGAAUACAUCCCAGCUGCGGAGACACCAGCGAGUUCACACUGGGGAGAGGCCAUUCACCUGCUCUGAGUGUGGGAAGGGAUUUUAUGGAUCAUCCCCCCUGCUGAUGCACAAGCGAGUUCACAGCGGGGAGUGGCCAUUCACCUGCUCUGAGUGUGGGAAGGGAUUCGCUCGGUCAUUCGACCUGCUGACACACCAGCGACUUCACAUUGGGGACUGGCUCAUUGUUCUGAAUGUGGAAAGAGAUUCACUCGGUCUUGUGAGCUGCUGGCACACCAGCAGGCUCACGCUGGGGAGAGGCCGUUCACCUGUUACGUGUGUGGGAAGGGAUUCACUCGGUCAUCCACCCUGCAGACACACCAGCGAGUUCACACUGGGGAGAGGCCAUUCACUUGCUCCAAGUCUGGGAAGGUUUUCACUCAGUCAUUCUACCUGCAGACACACCAGCGAGUUCACACCGGGGACUGGCUCCUCUGUUCUGAAUGUGGAAAGAGAUUCACUCGGUCUUACGACCUGCAGACACACCAGUGAGUUCACAUGGGGAGAGGCCGUUCACCUGUUACAUUUGUGGGAAGGGAUUCCCUCGGUCAUCCACCCUGCAGACACACCAGUGACUUCACACCAGGGAGAGGCCAUUCACCUCUUCGGAGUGUGGGAAGGGAUUCACUCGGUCAUCCGACCAGCUGAAACACAGCAAAUUCACACCAGGGAUAGGCCGUUCACCUGCUCCGAGUGUGGGAAGGGAUUCACUCGGUCGUCCACCCUGCAGAAACGCCAAUGAGUUCACGCCAGGGAGAAGCCAUUCACCUGCUCCGAGUGUGGGAAGCGAUUCAGUGAUACAUCCACCCUGCUGAGACACCAGCGAGUUCACACGAGGGACAAGACGUUUACAGACUCUGAGUGUGGGAAGAGAUUCACUUGUUCAUCUGAGCUGCUGACACACCGUGACAGUCACACUGAUUAGCGACCUUUUAGAUGCUCUGACUGUGGCUUUCGAUUGUGUGAAUUGAGGUUAAGUACAUACAGGUGGACAUCAUGGAUUGGAUAGUUACUUGAGCACAGAUAAAGAGACCCUUACUGACAUAGAGUGAAGUCGAGUCAGGAGGUAUAUACCUGUAAUGUUUCAUUCAGUGAAUAAAUCUAUACCAAGUAAAGAUUGGCUCCAGUUUCUUUCUUCACCAUCAGGCUGUUAGGAUUAUAACAUGGGAACAGAGAAUGCUUGUCUAAUGGUGAAGGCUGGAAACUAAAGGAAAAUUAAACUUCAGACAGAAACUUACAAGCUGAGUAGCUUUUGUGAGAAAUGGCUGAAAGCAAGUGAGAAUUGUCAGGGUCUGAUUACCUGCUGAUGUUCUCAAGAGUCUGAGCCACACGACCAGUGGAAGAAUGAAGUGGAUAUGUGGACAAGGGUUACGUCCCUACCAAGGAGGAAACAAAGUCUGGUCUUGGCAUUGUCACUUCCCAACAAAACUGAAAUCAGAAGCAAAGUAUUUAGUGAGCUAGCGCCUGUCAGCUGGAUACCGAUGAAGGUUUGGAUCUUCUAUUCAGGUUCAUUGAUGAGAUUUGAAGGAAAGAUGAUCUACUGGAUGCCUAUGAAGCAUAGAUGGACUUUGACAGGUUUCAAAUGAGGGUGAAAGCAUCUUUAGUAGAUCUGAAUAUCACAACAAAAGACAGGAUUGGAACAGCAUUAAUAGGUGAAUGAACCCCAGGAAUGACCAAGGCACAAUUAACAGGUGUUUCAGGUCAGACUCAAAAUAUCAUUAUGUGAUGAACAGCCCAAAAUGGAAAAUCAGGGUCUUUGAAGUGACACACGACACAGAGAAUUCUGAAGCUGAAGGUGAUGAUGAUGAUCACUCUGAAGGAAUUGUACUAGUCACAAGGAGCUUUGGUCCAGUGAUGAGUAUGUUAGUCACAGACUCAUUCAACUGUGCUGUGCACCUUGUCAGCAUGUGGAUUAGAUUGGUGAACACGUUACCCAAAUUCAUCUCGUACUGAGGAUCGACACAAGGUUAAGGAGUAUGAAAUUUAUACUUGUCUUUGUUUGGUGAUGUCAGUA